UACAUGAAGAUAUAUGGUUUAGGGGUGGGGAUCUCGAACAUUACCAAGUUCUCAAAGAGGUGGGGUGGGGUGACCCCCAGGGACUUCCCCUAUAUUUCAUUUGAUUAUAUAUAUAUUGUCCCAUACAUUAAUAAAUAUAGUUUAGGGGUGAGGAUUUCGACUGUUUCCAAGUUCUUAAACAUGAGGGGGUGGGGUGACCCUAUGGACUUCCCCUAUAUUUCAUUUGAUUAGUUAUUUAGUCUCAUACAUAAAUGUAUAUGGUUGAUGGGGAUCUCGACUGUUUCCAAGUUCUAAAACAGGAGGAGGUAGAGUGGCGCAAUGGACUCCACCUAUAUAUCAUAUGAUUUGCUUACAUUCAGGUAUCAUAUAUAUAUAGUUGCACUAUUUGUACCUGUCCCAAGUCAGGAGCCUGUAAUUCAGUGGUUGUCGUUUGUUUAUGUGUUACAUAUUUGUUUUUUGUUAAUUUUUUUUAUAUAAAUAGGGCCGUUAGUUUUCUCGUUUGAAUUAUUUUACAUUGUCUUAUCGGGGCCUUUUAUAGCUGACUAUAGUGUAUGGGCUUUGCUCCUUGUUGAAGGCCGUACAAUGACCUAUAGUUGUCUGUGUCAUUUUGGUCUCUUGUGGAUAGUUGUCUCAUUGGCAAUCAUACCACAUCUUUUUUUUUUUUAUAUAAGAAACUUCCAGCUAUUUUAAAUGACCAAUCAAAAUUGAGAAGAAAAAAAUACCCCUUGAAAUUGCAGUAAUAUGUUUAACUUUAAAAGCAUCUAACAUGCAUUACCAACAUUUAUCACUGAUAAAGAAAAUUUAUACUGUUACCAGGAACAUAUAUAUAUUGUCAGAUAAACUGUUCCCAGCUGUCACAUUGUAUUGGAUUUUGACAUUAAAACUGGUGUACAAAAUAUUUUCUGCUUUUUCUUUCUUUUACAUAUAUGUUUU
rnacentral:lncRNA from 1 species